rnacentral:rRNA from 1 species
UACGAGAGCCCCAAGCGUUACCCGGAAUUAUUGGGCGUAAAGGGUGUGUAGGCGGUCAUGUUAGUCACUUGUUAAAGCCCGGGGCCUAACCCCGGAUCUGCGAGUGAAACGGCAUGACUAGAGGGCGUGAGAGGUACAUGGAACUCAUGGUGUAGGGGUGAAAUCCGUUGAUAUCAUGGGGAACACCAAAAGCGAAGGCAAUGUACUGGCACGCUCCUGACGCUGAAACACGAAAGCCAGGGUAGCGAAUAGG